GUCUACGGCCAUGCCACCCCAAGCGUGCCCGAUCUCACCUGAUCUCAGAAGCUAAGCAGGGUCGGGCCUGGUUAGUACUUGGAUGGGAGACCACCUAGGAAGACCAAGUGCUGUAGGCU
rnacentral:rRNA from 1 species